CAGAGGGACUGCAAUAACUGAGCUCUGUUGUCCAUGUUUACAGAGAACAGAAAUCGGUCUUGUUUAGCAACGCAAUUGUCAGGUGAUGGCAUCUAGGUGUAGGGGAGAUUCUCAAUUGGUUUGCUCAACUCCUCUCCUCCUCCUCGCCUCCUUUUGAAACAGGUCCAACGUAACCGAGGAGAGGGGGGGGGGGGAAUGUGGAAACAAAUGGCUGGAAGGAGAUGAGACUCCUUCACUCAAGCGGCAUCAUUCAAAUGACAUUUGGGCUACAAGGGUUUAAUCACAACUUAAAUGUGUCAAGUAAAAGUAGUAGUUGUGCUAGACAUUUUAUAGAUAAAAGGCUAAGUAGCAUAAUGUUUUGAAAUAUGUGCAUGCUUUUCUCCUCCCAGUAAACAACAGCUGUUUCAAAUGUGGUGUAGUGGAUCUCAAAACUCUUCCGCGAAGGACAGGUAAGAUACUCUUGUGCUUCCUCUUUGGGAGGAGACUAUCGCGCAGGCGAGGGCACUCCUCUGUUCGCCUGCUAACUAAUUGGCCCUUUCUCAAUUAUGGAACGCCGUUUGUGUCUUAAAGCACGUGGUCAAAAGGCGACAGUUUUAAUGCUGUAUGUGUAAAGUAAGCAGGUGCAGGUGUUAAAUUAACGAGUGCAUGUGCUAAAUUAACGUCUUCACAGCUAAAUGAAGUUCGUAGGGUCCAGUGAGAUACAUUCCUACAUUGGAGAGGGAUACCCUUCUAAGUUCUACUUAGAAAGCAGGAUAUGGGAUGCUCUUGAGUAGUGAGUUUCCAUAUAUCUAAGCAAUCUCAAGUUUGGUUAAAUUCUUCAGGGCAAAUUCAUUGACUUUUUUUACUUUAUAGAUUCAAAAAGGGUCUGGAAUGUCUAGGUCUCCUGCCUUAUAUGAAUAGACACUCAAGCCUCUUCAGAGAGGUGUUCAUCUAUGCUGAGUAAUCUCUUUUAGCCAAAGACAUGGCUUCUCUCUUCAAAGCAGAGCGCUCCCCACCUGGUACCAAUCAAAGAGCAAUAGAGAGAAGAGUCAUUUGUUUCUGGAGGGACUGACUUCUGGAGGUGGAAGCAUUCCUAGGCUGUGAUUGCCAGUGGAGCCACAGUUUUCUCUGCUACCGCACGGCAAGUGGUACCGGAGCGCCAAGUCUAGGUCCAAGGAGGCUUCUAAACAGAUUCUACCCCCAAGUCAUAAGACUACUGAACAUCUAAUCAAAUGGGUACCCAGACUAUUUGCUGGUACUCUAUCUAUGCAUAGUCACUUUAAUAUCUCUACCUACAUGUAUAUAUUAACUUGACUAACCGGUGCCCCCAUACAUCAUCUGUAACGGUUACAUGUAUAUAUUAACUUGACUAACCGGUGCCCCCACACAUCAUCUGUAACGGUAUCCCCUGUAUAUAGCCUCGCUAUUGUUAUUUUACUGAUGUUCUUGAAUUAUUUACUUUUCUUUUUAAAUGCAUUGUUGGUUAAGGGCUUGUAAGUAUGC
ensembl:lncRNA